AACGCACGAGACCUGCGGACCUGCGGAGGGAUCAUUAUAGAGUGGUAACCCUCUGUAAAAGGGGGGGACCUCCUGUCCUUUGUAGGCUCUUUUUUAAAGGGCUUUUUUUAAUUUUCUGCUUCGGUGGGGUUAUCCCACCGGAACAACCUCAAAACUCUGAUCAAAAAAUCGUUCUGUCUGAGAACUUUUUAUAAUAAAAAAAAACUUUCAGCAACGGAUCUCUAGAUCGGAAGAGCACAC
rnacentral:misc_RNA from 1 species